rnacentral:rRNA from 1 species
CCUACGGGAGGCAGCAGUGGGGAAUCUUGCGCAAUGGGCGAAAGCCUGACGCAGCCAUGCCGCGUGAAUGAUGAAGGUCUUAGGAUUGUAAAAUUCUUUCACCGGGGACGAUAAUGACGGUACCCGGAGAAGAAGCCCCGGCUAACUUCGUGCCAGCAGCCGCGGUAAUACGAAGGGGGCUAGCGUUGCUCGGAAUUACUGGGCGUAAAGGGAGCGUAGGCGGAUAGUUUAGUCAGAGGUGAAAGCCCAGGGCUCAACCUUGGAAUUGCCUUUGAUACUGGCUAUCUUGAGUGUGGGAGAGGUAUGUGGAACUCCGAGUGUAGAGGUGAAAUUCGUAGAUAUUCGGAAGAACACCAGUGGCGAAGGCGACAUACUGGCCCAUUACUGACGCUGAGGCUCGAAAGCGUGGGGAGCAAACAGGAUUAGAUACCCUGGUAGUCCACGCUGUAAACGAUGAGUGCUAGUUGUCGGCAGCAUGCUGUCGGUGACGCGAGCUACGACAUUAAGUACACUCCGCCGUCGGGGAGGUACGGUCGGCGAAGAAUUAAAACGUAACAAAGGAAAGUUAGACGGCGUGAGACGUGCCGAACGGACGACGACGAGGGAGGUAGG